GAUGAACGCUAGCGGCAGGCUUAACACAUGCAAGUCGAGGGGCAGCGGGAUGUAGCAAUACAUUGCCGGCGACCGGCGCAAGGGUGCGUAACGCGUGAGCAACAUGCCCGUCACAGGAGGAUAAGCCAUGGAAACGUGGCCUAAUACUCCAUAGUAUCUUUCUGAGGCAUCUUAGAGAGAUUAAAGCUUCGGUGGUGACGGAUUGGCUCGCGUGACAUUAGCUAGAUGGAGAGGUAACGGCUCACCAUGACGACGAUGUCUAGGGGAACUGAGAGGUUUAUCCCCCACACUGGUACUGAGACACGGACCAGACUCCUACGGGAGGCAGCAGUGAGGAAUAUUGGACAAUGGAUGGAAAUCUGAUCCAGCCAUGCCGCGUGCAGGAUGACGGCCCUAUGGGUCUUAAACUGCUUUUGUAUGGGAGCAAUAAGCUUUACGUGUAGAGUGAUGAGAGUACCAUACGAAUAAGCAUCGGCUAACUCCGUGCCAGCAGCCGCAGUAAUAC
rnacentral:rRNA from 1 species